UACGAAGGGUGCAAGCGUUACUCGGAAUUACUGGGCGUAAAGCGUGCGUAGGUGGUGAGUUAAGUCUGUCGUGAAAGCCCCGGGCUCAACCUGGGAAUGGCGAUGGAUACUGGCUCGCUAGAGUCCGGUAGGGGACCGACGGAAUUCCUGGUGUAGCGGUGAAAUGCGCAGAUAUCAGGAGGAACACCGGUGGCGAAGGCGGUGGUCUGGGCCGGCACUGACGCUGAGGAGCGAAAGCGUGGGGAGCGAACAGG
rnacentral:rRNA from 1 species